rnacentral:rRNA from 1 species
CUUGGUGGUUUUAGCGGUGGGGGUACACCCGAUCCCAUCCCGAACUCGGCAGUUAAGUCCACCAGCCCCGAUGAUACUUGGACCGCAAGGUCCUGGGAAAGUAGGACGCCGCCAAGA